rnacentral:rRNA from 1 species
CCUACGGGGGGCUGCAGUGGGGAAUAUUGGACAAUGGGGGGAACCCUGAUCCAGCCAUGCCGCGUGUGUGAAGAAGGCCCUCGGGUUGUAAAGCACUUUCAGUGAGGAAGAACGCCUGGUGGUUAAUACCCAUCAGGAAAGACAUCACUCACAGAAGAAGCACCGGCUAACUCCGUGCCAGCAGCCGCGGUAAUACGGAGGGUGCGAGCGUUAAUCGGAAUUACUGGGCGUAAAGCGCGCGUAGGUGGCUUGAUAAGCCGGUUGUGAAAGUCCCGGGCUCAACCUGGGAACGGCAUCCGGAACUGUCAAGCUAGAGUGCAGGAGAGGAAGGUAGAAUUCCCGGUGUAGCGGUGAAAUGCGUAGAGAUCGGGAGGAAUACCAGUGGCGAAGGCGGCCUUCUGGACUGACACUGACACUGAGGUGCGAAAGCGUGGGUAGCAAACAGGAUUAGAUACCCUGGUAGUC